GAUGAAGAACGUAGCGAAAUGCGAUAAGUAAUGUGAAUUGCAGAAUUCAGUGAAUCAUCGAAUCUUUGAACGCACACUGCGCCCGCCAGUAUUCUGGCGGGCAUGCCUGUUCGAGCGUCAUUUCAACCAUCAAGCCCCCGGCUUGUGUUGGGGACCUGCGGCUGCCGCAGGCCCUGAAGACCAGUGGCGGGCUCGCUAGUCACUCCGAGCGUAGUAAUACAUCUCGCUCAGGGCGUGCUGCGGGUUCCGGCCGUUAAAAAGCCUUAUUUACCCAAGGUUGACCUCGGAUCAGGUAGGAAGACCCGCUGAACUUAAGCAUAUCAAUAAGCGGAGGA
rnacentral:misc_RNA from 1 species